UACGGCAACAUCAUGUUGAAAUACCGAUUCCCGUACGAUCACUGAAGUAAAGCAAAGUUGAGCCUGGUCAGUAUUUAGAUGGGUGACCGCUUGGGAAUACCAGGUAC